rnacentral:misc_RNA from 1 species
AGUCCUAAUAGGAACUACCCGCACAGCUGACUCCCUGGCAGAAGAGCUUCUAGAGCCUCCAGUGUUCUGUUGAUCAGAACUUCCACCAAUAGAAGCUGCUUGACCAGCUUGCCCUGGUUGCUGUGGACCACCAGCAGGCUCUCUUCGAUUCGGAUUUGAAGCCAUAAAUGAACCUGUUCGUAUUCUAAUGUCAAUAUUCCUUGGAAUAAAGCCAGAACUAACAGAUCCCCCAGAAAAUCCAGUAUUAUUUUGUACAGUUCCAACAGAAACAGCCCCAAAGCUUGUAUUUGGCUGAAAAGGUAAUGGCUGAACCAUUAUAGGAUUGGGGCCAGCAGUGGACACAAAAACAGCGGGUCCAGCAUUCACAACAGCAUCAGCUGGUGUUUCGCCCAUUCGCAAUGUCAUUGCCGUCCGACCAAGCUCAAGUAGCAUAGCACCUAUGUUUCGGAAAAGACCGCCUGUUCUCAAAGCAUAUGAUUGAAUUCUCAUUCUCUCCCCUGGAUUUGUGACAUUUGCUUGAUUCUCUAGCAAUGUCGAAAAUUGCGACAAACACUCUACCACUUGUUCCAUGAAUAAUUGUCUCGUCAAAAUAAUCACUUCCGCCAAGGAUGCAGGUGUCGGGAACCCCCUCUCUCCGAUUGAAUGAGCGGUAGCCUCCAAAGCUGUUCUAUCUGCUAGAUGUACACCAGCAGAUUGUGUAGUCUCACUUUGUCCUCUAGCAUUGGCUCUGAACUCUACAGUUAAAUGGCUCAAGUACUGGGUCAAAGUUGUAAGAGAAUCAGGAAUAACCGGUGCUUGCAGAGCUUCUGGUGGGACAUCCGUCGAACGUGCAGAAGCACUAUUAGUGACGUUGGAUUGAUCCCUUGUAUCAGCUUGCUCAGUCUGUGAUCUACCAGAAUCUCUAAUAUUUCC